GAUAGAGCAGAUUGUUACCCCGAGAAAACAUUGUCAACUGAGGCGAAGCCGAGGUUGACAAUGUCUUUUCGAGGGGUAACAAUCUGCUCUAUCACCCUCUCAGAUAUGUGUUAUUUAAUUUAUUAUACUGAAUGUUCUGUUAUUACUGUCGAUUAAAUUUAAAAUUCAAAGUAAUAAACUAUGACAUCUUGUACAUAACCAUCCGUAUUUAAUAAAGCGCACACUUGAUCAAACGUCUCCGUGAAGGGUAAUAGAGUAUUUGCCAUAGGAUAGAGUCGUAUUUAAUAAAGCGCACACUUGAUCAAGCGUCUCUGUGAAGGGUGAUAGAGUAUUUGUCAUAGGAAAGAGUCGUGUUUAAUAAAGCGCACACUUGAUCAAGCGUCUUCAUGAAGGGUAACAGUAAAUUGACACCCUCGUAUUAGCCAAUAAAAAUCUGGCAUUUUGACAUGAAGUAUAAUAAAAUGAAAUGUACAUAUUUACCUGUUGAAACCGACCGUGCAAGGGCUGUAUAGCCAGUCAAGGUCGUUAAAAACUUCCAUUUGUUUGA
rnacentral:lncRNA from 1 species